GUCUCCGUGGCGUAGCUGGUUAUCGCGUAGGAUUCAUAACCCUAAGGUCGCCGGUUCGAGCCCGGCCGGGGACA
rnacentral:tRNA from 1 species